rnacentral:rRNA from 1 species
CUCACCAGGAGAGGUCGGGUGAAACUACAGGACUCGAGCUUCGGAGGGGAGAGUGGAACUUCCAGAGUAACGGUGAAAUGUGCAGAUACUGGAAGGUACCUCGAUAGCGAAGGCAGCUCUCUGGCCGACAGCUGACGCUGAAGCGCGAAAGCGUGGGGAGCAAACCGGAUUAGAUACCCGGGUAGUCCACGCCCCAAACGAUGUCAACUAGGUGUUGGCUCCUUUAACUGAGGGCCAGUGCCGCAGCUAACGCGUUAAGUUGACCGCCUGGGGACUACGGCCGCAAGGCUAAAACUCAAGGGAAUUGACGGGGGCCCGCACAAGCGGUGGAGCACGUGGUUUAAUUCGAAGCAACGCGAAGAACCUUACCAGGCCUUGACAUCCAAUGAACUUUCUAGAGAUAGAUUGGUGCCUUCGGGAACAU